rnacentral:rRNA from 1 species
CGUCUUCGGCGUCCGCAUUGUAAUCUCAAGAAGUGUUUUCCGCUUCGGACCAUGCCUAAGUCCCUUGGAAAAGGGCAUCAUAGAGGGUGAUAAUCCCGUACAUGGCAUGGAGCGCCCGAGGCUUUGUGAUACGCUUUCUAAGAGUCGAGUUGUUUGGGAAUGCAGCUCAAAAUGGGUGGUAAAUGCCAUCUAAGGCUAAAUAUUGGGGAGAGACCGAUAGCGAACAAGUACAGUGAUGGAAAGAUGAAAAGAACUUUGAAAAGAGAGUUAAACAGUACGUGAAAUUGCCAAAAGGGAAGGGUAGGAGGUCAGAGAUGCGUCUUGGGAUUCAGCCUUGCUUUUGCUUGGUGUUUUUCCCAAGUUGCAGGCCAACGUCGGUUUUGGGCACUGGAGAAGGGUGGAAGGAACGUGGCACCUCUCGGGGUGUGUUAUAGCCUUCUACUGGAUACAGCGACCGAGACCGAGGACAGCAGCGUACUCGCAAGAGCGGGCCUUCGGGCACCUUUACGCUUAGGGCGUUGGCAUAAUGGCCCUCUACCACC